rnacentral:rRNA from 1 species
GCCUAAAGCGUCCGUAGCCGGCUCUGUAAGUUUUCGGUUAAAUCUGUACGCUCAACGUACAGGCUGCCGGAAAUACUGCAGAGCUAGGGAGUGGGAGAGGUAGACGGUACUCGGGAGGAAGUGGUAAAAUGCUUUGAUCUCUCGAUGACCACCUGUGGCGAAGGCGGUCUACCAGAACACGUCCGACGGUGAGGGAUGAAAGCUGGGGGAGCAAACCGGAUUAGAUACCCGGGUAGUCCCAGCUGUAAACUAUGCAAACUCAGUGAUGCAUUGGCUUGUGGCCAAUGCAGUGUUGCAGGGAAGCCGUUAAGUUUGCCGCCUGGGAAGUACGUACGCAAGUAUGAAACUUAAAGGAAUUGGCGGGGGAGCACCACAAGGGGUGAAGCCUGCGGUUCAAUUGGAGUCAACGCCAGAAAUCUUACCCGGAGAGACAGCAGAAUGAAGGUCAAGCUGAAGACUUUACCAGACAAGCUGAGAGGUGGUGCAUGGCCGUCGCCAGCUCGUGCCGUGAGAUGUCCUGUUAAGUCAGGUAACGAGCGAGAUCCCUGCCUCUAGUUGCCACCAUUACUCUCAGGAGUAGUGGGGCGAAUUAGCGGGACCGCCGCAGUUAAUGCGGAGGAAGGAAGGGGCCACGGCAGGUCAGUAUGCCCCGAA